UAGAGGAAUUAUGUAGGACUAUAGUAUAGAAAUUAAUCUUUUACUUUAAUUUGCCAAAUUUUUUUAAUAAU